AAUGUUCUUCCCUGCAACUGUUCCUGCAAUAUACAGACAUCGUCCUGUGAAAGGUAAAUCAGAUGAUGAGCUGAAAUCAAGGUAGCUUUGGCUUUCACCAUCAGGAUAAACCUGUUCAUAUUUGCAAGUUCCCUGUUGUUAAACUAGGAUCAGCAUGAAUGUGCAAACUGUAUAUGCUGAGAAAUAUCAUUGAUCUUCAUUUUCAGUAUGUAGAAACAGUUGUUUAAUGAUGAAAUAAGCAAAAUGGGAGAGUCAUCUUAAGAUAACCAAAUCUCAGGUAUUUGAUUAAAG
rnacentral:misc_RNA from 1 species